GGAUGAGUCUGCGUCUGAUUAGGUAGUUGGUGAGGUAACGGCUCACCAAGCCGACGAUCAGUAACUGGUCUGAGAGGACGAACAGUCACACUGGAACUGAGACACGGUCCAGACUCCUACGGGAGGCAGCAGUG
rnacentral:rRNA from 1 species